UACGUAGGGGGCAAGCGUUAUCCGGAUUUACUGGGUGUAAAGGGAGCGUAGACGGUUCUGCAAGUCUGGUGUGAAAGCCCGGGGCUCAACCCCGGGACUGCAUUGGAAACUGUGGAACUAGAGUGCAGGAGAGGUAAGUGGAAUUCCUAGGUGUAGCGGUGAAAUGCGUAGAGUAUUAAGGAGGAACACCAGUGGCGAAGGCGG
rnacentral:rRNA from 1 species